CCGUCGUGAAGAGGGAAACAACCCAGACCGCCAGCUAAGGUCCCAAAGUCAUGGUUAAGUGGGAAACGAUGUGGGAAGGCCCAGACAGCCAGGAUGUUGGCUUAGAAGCAGCCAUCAUUUAAAGAAAGCGUAAUAGCUCACUGGUCGAGUCGGCCUGCGCGGAAGAUGUAACGGGGCUAAACCAUGCACCGAAGCUGCGGCAGCGACGCUUAUGCGUUGUUGGGUAGGGGAGCGUUCUGUAAGCCUGCGAAGGUGUGCUGUGAGGCAUGCUGGAGGUAUCAGAAGUGCGAAUGCUGACAUAAGUAACGAUAAAGCGGGUGAAAAGCCCGCUCGCCGGAAGACCAAGGGUUCCUGUCCAACGUUAAUCGGGGCAGGGUGAGUCGACCCCUAAGGCGAGGCCGAAAGGCGUAGUCGAUGGGAAACAGGUUAAUAUUCCUGUACUUGGUGUUACUGCGAAGGGGGGACGGAGAAGGCUAUGUUGGCCGGGCGACGGUUGUCCCGGUUUAAGCGUGUAGGCUGGUUUUCCAGGCAAAUCCGGAAAAUCAAGGCUGAGGCGUGAUGACGAGGCACUACGGUGCUGAAGCAACAAAUGCCCUGCUUCCAGGAAAAGCCUCUAAGCAUCAGGUAACAUCAAAUCGUACCCCAAACCGACACAGGUGGUCAGGUAGAGAAUACCAAGGCGCUUGAGAGAACUCGGGUGAAGGAACUAGGCAAAAUGGUGCCGUAACUUCGGGAGAAGGCACGCUGAUAUGUAGGUGAAGCGACUUGCUCGUGGAGCUGAAAUCAGUCGAAGAUACCAGCUGGCUGCAACUGUUUAUUAAAAACACAGCACUGUGCAAACACGAAAGUGGACGUAUACGGUGUGACGCCUGCCCGGUGCCGGA
rnacentral:rRNA from 1 species